GGUAAUAUGGCCGAGCAGGUAUUAGACUGUAAAUCUAAGGACAGAGGUCGAGUCCUCUUAUUACCA
rnacentral:tRNA from 1 species